AAUCAAAUCAUGAGGGCAGUUACCCUCAUGCUGUUCUCGUGAUAGCGAGUGAGUUCUCAUGAGAUCUGAUGGUUUUAUAAGGGACUUUUCCCCUUUUGCUUGGCACUUCUCCUUCCUGCCACCAUGUGAAAAAGGACAUGUUUGCUUCUCCUUCUGCCAUGAUUCUUCUGGGAGCCUUCUGCAUUCCGUGGUUUGGGUCCCUUUCCUCCAUCUUCAAAACCAGUCUAACAGCAUUUUCAUAUCUCUAUGAUACUAAUUUCCUCUUUUUUGAGGCAUAAACAUAUUUUCAUUGAAAAUCGUGAAGAAUUGAGAAGGAAAGGAGUCUGAAAUUUUAAAUGGAGACUUCUCUCUUGCUGGCUUAGGUAAAGCAAGCCCCACAUGGCAAAGAACUGAGGGACAGACAAUAAGAAACAAGCUCUCAGCCCAACAAGCCACAAGGAAGUGAAUUUUGCCAACAACCAAGUGAGCUUGGAAGCAGAUCCUUCCAUAAUCAAGCUUUGAGACAAAACUGCAACCUGGAUUGACCCCUUGACUGCAACUUUGAAGAGAACAACUAAAUUGUGUCCUUACUGCUGAUCCACAGGAUUCUGUGUUGCUUUAAACUACUGUUUGUGGUAACAUUGUAACACAAAUAUACAUAACCAAUACCAUUUACAUGGUGCUUACUAUAUGUCAGGCACUAUUCCAAGAGUUUACUCUUUUAAUCUACGUAACUCAAGGAUAUAAUUCAUCUCAUUUUAUAAAUAAAGAAGAGAACACAGAGCUUAAAUAACUUGUCAAAGUUCACAGAGCAAGCAUCUCCAAUCAAAAUAUAUAAUAAUAUGCUUCUCUGUAAAAAUAAUAUUUUGUUAAUGAAAUGGAGUUUAAUAGGCCUGUAUGCUACCCACAUCUGAAUUCCACUGAAGUAUUUUCUCACAAAUAUUUUAUACCUCACAAAAUAUUUUAUACACAAAUAUUUUAUAUCUCACAAAAAUUUUUAUACCUCCUGGCAAACUCAAUCAAACCAAGAAAUAGGAUGCCUUAAUUGGUUAGACAAGGGAGAGUUGAAAUUCGUUUCAGCUUGUCUGCAAUCUGUUUGUAACACAGAGAAGAAAUUUUUGCCAGAAGACAAUUUAACGAGGGUGAUGUAAAUAUUUUAGCCAAUAUCAUGUAACCAUCUUCUUCCCAUAUUAACUAUCUUGUUCCAUAAUUUCCAUCCCCCACUUAAACAAUCCUGAUAUUGCCUAAUGUUAAAAUAUGUUUAAAAGAAAAGUUUUAACUUAGGCUAAAAUAUCAUUUUCAUAAAUAGAGCUAAGGAAAUGACAAUUGAUUAGAAAAUAAAUGUCAUGUUGCCACAUUACUGAACUACAUUAUACUAUAGGAUAUCCCAAGUACUGUAAUGUGGAGUAGUGUUAGAUUUUGGAUAACAGAUGGGAGACCAGUUUUGAUGCAAAGAUUUUAGUUGAUUUCCUGAGUUAAAUCAGAUGUUCAUCCCUAUAAAUUAAGUAGCAAUCUUAUCCCUAUUCUAGCAUUAUAAAUGCCUCUAUUAUAUCAUGUAAUAAAUGUUGACCAUAGUUAAAAUACAGAAGUGUGACAUAUUUCUUUGAUAUAACCCCAUAAACAUCCCCUACCCGUCUGUCCUUCCUUAGCAUUCAGAGUACUCUAGCCACAUGGAACUACCAUACCAAAACAUUUGUUUUAUGAGUGAAUAGCUUAAUUGCUGAUAUCCUUAUAGAAAACACAUACCUAUGUAUGUGUAAUAAUUUCAUACCAUUGUUCAGUUUAUUGAAUGUUGAAGAUAUUAAACAGGACACUUGUGUAAUGUAACUGCUCUUGGAUUAGUCACAAUAGAAAGGUAUUUGCUUAGGUUGUCAGCUGUGACAAACUGAAUCACUAAAUUACCUCAAUUUUAAAAUUAAUAAAAGAUAUUUAAGAUAUAUCAAUUUUUUCUUCUGGUCUGAUAAUAAAAGCAUGGAAAAUUCAGGAAAAUGGAAAAAUCCUAUGGCUUAUCAGGAAAGAUGAUGUUUUGUAUCAAUAUGUCUACCCUGAGAGCUUUGUCCAUCUUCUUUUGUUACUUUUAGCUAAUCCUUUAGAGGGGCAAAGAGAACAGAGAAAGAAAAUGAAAACAAAAAGAUGGCACGUAUCAAUCAUUUAUCCAGAUAAACCUAUUUCCAUAUAUUGGGUGUUCUAUGUAUUUAAGGAUAUAUGUUAAUAAUUAACUCAAAAGUUAUGAGUAAAUUUCAUUUAGCUCAAAACGUUUCCAUACACAAUCUGUUAUGUCAGAAAAUAUUAACCAAGGUUCCCACCUUACCGAUAGAAAAAAAUAACCAACUCCCAGUUGCAUCAAAUCUACAGUUUUGGUGAACGUUAGUUUCAUGACCAUUAAAAAACAGAGAUUAACAGAUGCUUUCAGAUCCAAAAUAAGGCAGUCUUUUAUAUACAAAAGCCUUGGCACAUGUCUGCAAAUGCUACUGAGAAAGGUAGCAUUGCAAACUGUUCAGUCUCAUAGUUGAUUCAAAAACACUGCUCCCUUCUUUUUCUUCUCUAACAUGCCAGUCUAGAAAUUCAGCUCCUGUGCCAUAGGGAUGAUUGGUAUUAGAGUCUUCCUUCUUGCAUGCAUCCCCUACAGUGCUGCAAUGAGGAUGGUAGAAAUGGGAAACACGUCCCCUCUUACUUGAGUGCCUGUAGCACAUUUGUUAAACUGUUUGUUGUCACUUCUCUGUAAAAUAUUAACUGGAAGUUGGUUCCCUUUUUGCAGCAGCCAAUGAAAUAUUCAUUCUCUUGAGAUUAUUUGUUGGUUUUUCAAGAACCUUCCUCUCCUUGCACAAUUUCCCAGUGCUAGAGACUUGGCUUAGGAUUAAAUUUCUUUUUAAAGCAUCUCAAAUCACCAUACUGUCUUUUGUCCUCUGGUAUGGGUUGUCCAGGGAGUAAGUUUACUUUUGUUCUGUAAUAAACUACCCGCAAACUUAGUGGCCCCAUCACAUUAUUAUCACUUACAAUUAUUACUAGGUGCUUCUUCUGGUAUGGACCACCUAGUCUGAUCUGUUUGGCUAGCUCAGGCAUCUGUAGUAAACUAAUGAGUCACCUAACCAAUUGGAUAUUAUAGGAUAGCCUUGCCUAUGAGUUUGGAGAUUGAACAACUGAGGCAACAGGCAUCUUAUCUACGUGUUUUUUCGUUCUUCAUUUUCUAGAAAGUUAGCAGGCUGAUUUACAUGGUCACCCAAGCUUUCCAAAUGUAGCCAGAGAGGGCAAGUUUCAAUGUAUGAAAACUUUUCUAGAUGAGAAUGCUUCUUUUGGGAAGAUUCUAUGUAUACCCCUCUCAUUGCUUUCCACAAUAUUCCCAGCUGAGGAGAGACAUGUUGAACAAUUCAAAUGAACUAAUAACACUCAAUUUCUUAAAAUCUAGUGGAUGCUGAUGUGUUC
ensembl:lncRNA novel transcript